AGUAGCUUGCUAUGAGCUGUUUUAGCGGCGGACGGGUGAGUAACGCGUGAGUAACCUGCCCUAGAGUGGGGGACAACAGUUGGAAACGACUGCUAAUACCACAUAAGCCCACGGUGCCGCAUGACACUGAGGGAAAAGGAGCAAUCCGCUUUGAGAUGGCCUCGCGUCCGAUUAGCUAGUUGGUGAGGUAACGGCCCACCAAGCCGACGAUCGGUAGCCGACCUGAGAGGGUGAUCGGCCACAUUGGGACUGAGACACGGCCCAGACUCC
rnacentral:rRNA from 1 species